rnacentral:rRNA from 1 species
UUGAAAGGGAAACGAUUGAAGUCAGUCGUACCUGCGGGUAAUCAGCCUUUUGGGCAUGAUUCUGUGGAGCAUGAGGAGUUAAACGCCUUCAUGCCUGCAUAUUCGUGUACUUUGGGUGUACUUGCCUGUGUGGUUAGUUAACAUCAAUUUUGGUUAUCAUAAAAUGGUUGGAGGAAUGUAGCUUCGAUUUCGAUUGAAGUGUUAUAGCCUUCGGCAGGUGUGAUGAUCGGGAUUGAGGAUUGCAACGGAUACCCUUCGGGGCUACCUGUCUGAUCUCUGAUCGUUGCUCUGGUGCCGAAAGCGUGCUUACGGUUAUCAAAGUCGAUGGUUAAUAGGUUAGAGUGGGUUAAAUUCGUUAAGGAUGUUGACGUA